GAUUCGUCACGGCGAAGAGGGCCGAGGAGGCCCGACCUAACACAGAAUAGGCCUGGGUUUAGCGGCUGUGAGGAGCCGGAGCCGCCGCAGCGACCGAGGAAGUGGCGGGAGGUGCCGAGCCUUGCGGAGGGGCGGUGGGGGCCGCGGUGGGAGACGGCGGAUGGCGCUCAGCGCGAGGCCGCGGAACCACUGUGGCAGCAAGCAGUUCGGCCAGACUCCCGCUGAGCCCGCUCCUGGAGGGGCCCUCCCCGACUCCGGUCUUGCUUUCCUUUAGGCUGUGGGUCAGAGUCUACACUUCACUAAACCUGGGAUGGAGGCGUGGAGGACUUGCUUCGCGGCGUUUGCGUCCUCGCAGGCGCCUCGCAGGGCUUCCUGCCCUCACGGCGGGGGAGUAGCUUUGGCGAAAAUCAGCACGAGUUCUGCAGUUUUUCCAAGCGCUUUUAGGGUGUAAUCGUCCCAGGUUUCUAAGCCAAGGCCCGGAGAGUUGACCCCCUCGCAACAGCUUGUGUGUCCUUGCAGCGCCGCGGGUGCCACCUGGUCUCCGCCUCAGCGCUGCCUCGGCUCCUUCGGUUCCCACCAGCGGGAACGACCGUCCCCACUUUCAGCUUAAACUCAUCUGUCCUUCUGGAUCCAGCUCAGAGGUCUCUUUGUGAUGCCCUCCUGGAACUUCCCCCCUAGUAAUCCUUCCUUUGUAUUCCCGUGGCUCUUUGAUAAUAAUGGUUGGAGUCCUGAACCCGACCCUUUGUAUCGGACCGUGUUUGUCAUCUCCAGUGCUUUAUGAAGGCCUUGAAAGCAAGGUUCAGCCGUCUGUAUUGGUCAUCUUCCCAUUGCCAGUGCCUACGAAGGGCUUGACCCAUUCAUUGUUAGACGCUCAGUAAGUGUGUAUUGAGGCAGCCCUCUGUGCCACUCCAGGGCUCUUUCCACUAAAUCAUGAGUAUGUUGGUUUACCAGAUGGAAUGAGUAGCCUCUUCUUUGGAUACAUAAACACCCGAUGGAUAUUGUGGGUCACUGUGGAGGGAGAAUGAACGUAUGGGAUCCCUGACCUGUGGUUACUGGAAAACAGUUGACAUUUAGAGAGAGGCUGAAUUCUUGGGCUUCCCGUAGCCCCCAUCCUGAGUGUGCCAACAGGGACUAGAAGCAUCUCUAGUCUGCAAAGCGAGGAACAAGUGAUACUCUGUCCAAUUUUUCCAAUAUUGUUAUACUCAUGAAUAGAGAUUAAUGAAAUUGAAGAGCAUAUUCAAGAGAAAGACUAAAGGAGAAGUCGUCUGCCCCGUGGACAGGCAGCUUGAGUGGUGCUUGAGAAAAUGUACAUGAAAUUGCUUGUUAAAAAAUAUUCACGCCUGUAAUCCCAGCUCUUUUGGGAGGCCGAGGCGGGCAGAUUACUAGGUCAGGAGAUCGAGACCAUCCUGGCUAACACGGUGAAACCCCGUCCCUACUAAAAAUACAAAAACAAAAUUAGCCGGGCGUGGCGGCGGGCGCCUGUGGUCCCAGCUAUUGGGGAGGCUGAGGCAGGAGAAUGGCGUGAACCCGGGAGGCGGAGCUUGCAGUGAACGGAGAUGGCGCCACUGCACUCCAGCCUGGGCGAGAGAGCGAGACUCUGUCUCAAAAAAAAAAAAAUUAUAUAUAUAUAUAUGUAUAUAUCCAUCAGAGACAUGUAAAGGAUUAAAGUACGAUACACAAAGGCCUCAGAAGGGAUUUCAGUACAUUCUUUUUCUGGCUUCGUCCAGCAACUCCAGCCUGGUUUCUUCCCUGCCUUUGGGAUUAUGGUGGGAGGAUUGGGCGAGUGCAGUGCUGGGGAGGCGCUGUGUGUUGUCUCUAGGCAGUCCUCUGAAGAAAAACUGCAGGUUUUGGAUGUUAAGAAUAAAGCACCCUAUAGUAGGAAAGGGGUGGCCCAAAAACGGCAAAAAGGGAAAGGAGGGGACCUAAGUGGAGCAGUGACAUUGUCUGAUACACUUUCUCACUGGGUUUCUGCUCAGAUGUCACCUUCUUAGUAGGUGUUUCCUGACCUUUUUAAAAUUGCAUCUCAUUCCCCAACCCCCGGUGUCUGUUCAUGGCCUGUGCUUUACUUUUUCUGUAGCACUUGUCGCUACCUAACAUACUAUACUUCUUAUGAAUUUAUUUUGUUUUGUCUUUUUCUUCUUCUUUUCUUUUUUUUUUUGAGACGGAGUUUCGCUCUUAUUGCCCAGGCUGGAGUGCAAUGGCGCGAUCUUGGCUCACUACGACCUCCGUCUCCCGAGUUCAAGUGAUUCUCCUGCCUCAGCCUCCCAAGUAGCUGGGAUUACGGCAUGUGCCACCACACCCUGCUAAUUUUGUAUUUUUAGUAGAGACGAGGUUUCACCAUGUUGGUCAGGCUGGUCUUGGACUCCUGACCUCAAGUGAUCCACCGCCUCGGCCUCCCAAAGUGCUGGAUUACAGGCAUGAGCCACCGCACCCAGCCGUCUUUUUUUUCCCAUCAGGGUGGAGAUUUUGACAUCUGGAACAGUACACAGCACAUUUAGAUGCUCAAUACUUGUGGAGUAAAUAAAUGAAUGACUCAUUUUCUUCGCUUGGUUCUUUCUCUACCAAAGAUUUGAAAAAUUAAGAAACACCAGCCUGGCAACAUAGGGAGACCCCAUCUCUUAAAAAAAAAAUUAGCCAGGUGCGGUGGUGCACAUUUGUGGUCUCAGUUAUUUGGGACGCUGAGGUGGGAGGAUCGCUUGAGCCUGGGAGGUCAAGGCUGCAGUGAGCCAUGAUCAUGCCACUGCACUCCACCCUGGGUGACAGAGGCCCUUUCUAAAAAAAAAAAAAAAGAAAAGAAAGAAGGAUAUAGGCAAGAGAUAAUAGAAAAAUAAUCUGUUCUCUAGUCCUGAAGAAACUAAAACUGAAGAGUGAAUUAUCCAGCAAGAUGGACUUUACUUAUUAUGAGUUUUUUUCCCCCAAAGCAAACACCAGAACAUAUGCUCUUGCCUUUAGAAGGAUAUUUAUGGUAACUACAGGACAGAUGUUUGGAGUUGUGAUUAUUCCCAGAAAAUUUGGGAUACAGCAUCAAUAUGACUAUUUAAACUAAAUAUAACUAUAAGGGUAGUUGGGAGCACUCACGUGGGACCAGUGGUUAACCCCAGAGAUAAUCUUAGGCCCAAUUAAGACCUAACUUAGGCCUUAGUUUUCAUUCUGGCAGCAAGAUCCAGAAACGUGGCCUGCUUUCCCCUCUGACACUACUCAUACUUUUUUGGGGUUCUUCUUUCCCCAAGACAGGGAAGCCAAAACUAAGUAAGCUAAGGUUCUAGUCCAGGUGUCUUUGAGUUCUUUCCAUUGUUCUGUGGGAAGAAACGGGUGAUGGAGACAGAGUUAGGGGUAGGACUGGGAAGAAAGGAGAAAAAAGGAGAAAAUAAGACAGAAUAAGGAAAAACCUGAAGUCCUUGGACACCCAGUAGUCCAUGAAUAGGCUCUAAGUGAUCUAUGAACCCUUUAAAAUUAUACUCAAUUUUUAUGGGCUUUUUUCCUGAUAGGUUAAUUCUUUCAUGAGAUUUUCAAAGAGGUGCGUGACUCAAGAAAGAUUAUGAACCAACCACUGAGCCAUGGAGUUUGUAGUAUGUUCUUUUGAAGCUUUUAUAAUGGAUUUUUUUUUUCUUAAACAAGGGAAAGCGAGAGCAAAGCUUUACUUGACCCAAAUAGCCUAUGAAAGUCUGAUUAUAGACAACAUGAUGAAACAAACUAAUUUUCUCAGCUGUUUCUGUGAGAGCAGAAGGAGUUAUGGGUAUUCUGUUUUCUGUAGCUGGAAAUAGUUGUGAAAUAUUGAAGUUUAGCAGCUUUCCAGGACAGAGUGAUCCACACUGUUUUACAGAAUUUAAAAAGCACGGUUUGCUUUGAGAACCCUCUAUGUUGCCCUCAAAAUAACCUGGAGGAUUUGGGACAUGAGUGUUGCCCCAUGGUGUGGAAAAGGAUGAACGUUGAAAACAGGGUAGAGCUGGAGAAUCUGGGUUGUGGGGUCUAUUAUCCACUGAUAAUAUUGGGAGUCUAGGGCACAGUAGCCAAACGAGAUUGUUGCAGGCCGUUAUCUGGGCUGCCUCCUGUUUUUGUAAUAAACCCUUAUUUGGACACAAGCACCUUCAUUUAUUUACGUAUUGUCUUUGGUUGCUUGUGGUUACAAGGGAAGGGUUGUGUAGUUGUUACAGGGAUCCUAUGGCCUGAAAAGCCUAAAAUAUUUGCUCUCUGGGCUUCGAUGGAAAAGGUUGCCAAGCCUGGUCUAGAGUCUAAGCAUGUGAGGGAAACUUGGAAAGCCUUGUACUGAUUUUCACAUAUACCUUAUUUUAGAGCCUUUAUUUGUCAUAUGCCCACAAAUAUUGGCAAUCUGUGUGUACAUGCCGGCCAUAACUUGUAAACAUAGAACCAAAUUCUGCCCUGUGGACAAACUUUCCUUUGAUUUCAUGUGUUGAUAAUUUGAGUAACGUGUAUGCAUAUUGUUUAACUAAAAUUUAAUUUUGGCUCAUGUAUCAUAAUACAUUUCCAAUGGAAACUUUCAAAUUAAUGUAAGCAUUUUUUGACUUCAGAGAUUUUUUAUUUUUGAGACAGGGUCUCACUCUGUUGCCUAAAGCUGGAGUGCAGUGGUGCAAUCUAGGCUCACUGCAGUCUUGACCUCCUGGGUUCAGGCAAUUCUCCCACCUCAGCUUCCUGAGUAGCUCAGACUACAGGUGCACACUACCACACUGGGUUAAGUUUUUGAUUUUUUUUUUUUUUGGUAAAGACGAGGGCUCACUGUGUUGCCCAGGCUGGUCUCAAACUCCUGGGCUCAAGCGAUCCUCCUGCCUCAGCCUCCCUAAGUGUUGAGAUUACAGGUGUGAGCCACCAUGCCCGGCCAACAGAUUUUUAAAAAAUUCUAAAAACGUAAGAAAACAAAUUGAAGGACAAACUGAACUUUGCCAAUACAAAGAUCUCUAGCAAAUGAAUAAGAAAUAUGCUUAUGUGCAGUAUUAGUUGUAUAUUUCUGCAUAACAAAUUAUCCCAAAAUUUAGUGGCUCAAAAUAAUAAUCACUUAUUAUCUUUAGAGAACUAUUUUUUUUUUUUUUUGAGACACAGGGUCUCACUCUGUCACCCAGGCUGGAGUUCGGUGGCAUGAUCUUGGCUCACUGUAUCUUCCACCUCCUGGGCUCAAACAAUUCUUCCACUUCAGCAUCCUGAAUAGUUGGGACUACUGGUGUGUCACCAUAUUCGGUUAAUUUAAAAUUUUUUAAUAGAGACGAGGCCUCACUGUAUUGCCCAGGCUGGGCUUGAACUCCUGAGCUCUAGCAAUCCUUCUGCCUAGGCCUCUCAAAGUGUUGGGAUUAUAGGUGUGAGCCACUGUGCCUGGCAUAGAGAACAUUUUUAUACUUUAGACACUGUGCUUGGCAUAGAGAACAUUUUUUGUACUUUAAAAGCUAUCAUGACAGAACAGUUCAAAUUGGGUGACUCACUGGGAAAGAAUAACUGUUCUGGAAGCAAUUGAAAAAUUAAAAAUAGUAUCUUUACCUGUUGUGUUUUGAACUAUUAAUCAUUGUCCGCUGUAAUUUCCCCCACACAUUCUUUAAAGACAAUUUUCUUCCAAAUAGUACUGUAUAUCUGAGCAGUGCUUUAACAAAUAUUUUUGCUUGUAUAUUAUUUCAAACAACUGUAAGGUAGGUAGAGUAGGAAUUAUUAUCCAGCUUUACCUUUUCCUUUGUUUUCAAGUGUAAAACUUGAGGCCUAGGAACUUAAAGUGGCCCCUCCUGGUUACAUGGUUAGUGACAGAGCCAGGGUUAGGAUCCUACAAUUGUUAGUAACUGGAAUUACUCUUUAUUUUUGUAUUUUUUUAUGGAAGCAUGCAUUUGAAACAUUUCAGAGAGAUUAAAGAAUAUUAAUUUCUACUCAUGUGUAAAGCAAGGAUAAUAUUAUUCAUUUUGUAGGAUUG
rnacentral:lncRNA from 1 species